AACGAACGCUGGCGGCAGGCCUAACACAUGCAAGUCGAUCGCUGUCUUCGGACAGAGAGGCGCACGGGUGAGUAACACGUGGGAACAUACCCUUAAGUGCGGAAUAACUAUUGGAAACGAUAGCUAAUACCGCAUACGCCCUACGGGGGAAAGAUUUAUCGCUUAAGGAUUGGCCCGCGUCUGAUUAGCUAGUUGGCGGGGUAACGGCACACCAAGGCGACGAUCAUUAGCUGGUCUGAGAGGAUGACCAGCCAGACUGGGACUGAGAACGGCCCAGACUCCUACGGGAGGCAGCAGUAGGGAAUUUUCCACAAUGGGCGAAAGCCUGAUGGAGCAACGCCGCGUGCAGGAUGAAUGCCUUCGGGUUGUAAACUGCUUUUAUAUGUGACGAAUAUGACGGUAGCAUAUGAAUAAGGAUCGGCUAACUCCGUGCCAGCCGCCGCUGUAACAC
rnacentral:rRNA from 1 species